GCCGGGGUGGCCGAGUGGUUUUAGGUGCUACAGUUUGGAACCGAGUGACCACUACGGUCGCAGGUUCGAAUCCUGCCUCUGGCA